UAAGCAUAUCAAUAAGCGGAGGAAAAGAAACUAACAAGGAUUCCCCUAGUAACUGCGAGUGAAGCGGGAAAAGCUCAAAUUUAAAAUCUGGCAGUCUUUGGCUGUCCGAGUUGUAAUCUAGAGAAGUAUUAUCCGCGCUGGACCGUGUACAAGUCUCCUGGAAUGGAGCGUCAUAGAGGGUGAGAAUCCCGUCUUUGACACGGACUGCCAGGGCUUUGUGAUAUGCUCUCRAAGAGUCGAGUUGUUUGGGAAUGCAGCUCAAAAUGGGUGGUAAAUUCCAUCUAAAGCUAAAUAUUGGCGAGAGACCGAUAGCGAACAAGUACCGUGAGGGAAAGAUGAAAAGAACUUUGGAAAGAGAGUUAAACAGUACGUGAAAUUGCUGAAAGGGAAACGCUUGAAGUCAGUCGCGUUGGCCAGGGAUCAACCUUGCUUUUUUGCUUGGCUUACUUUCUGGUUGAUGGGUCAGCAUCAAUUUUGACCGGUGGAAAAAGUUCAAAGGAAUGUGGCAUCUUCGGAUGUGUUAUAGCCUUUGUUCACAUACAUUGGUUGGGAUUGAGGAACUCAGCACGCCGCAAGGCCGGGUUUUUAACCACGUCCGUGCUUAGGAUGCUGGCAUAAUGGCUUUAAUCGACCCGUCUUGAAACACGGACCAAGGAGUCUAACAUGCCUGCGAGUAUUUGGGUGAAAAACCCGAGUGCGUAAUGAAAGUGAAAGUUGAGAUCCCUGUCGUGGGGAGCAUUGACGCCCGGAUCUGACCUUUUGUGACGAUUCUGCGGUAGAGCAUGUAUGUUGGGACCCGAAAGAUGGUGAACUAUGCCUGAAUAGGGUGAAGCCAGAGGAAACUCUGGUGGAGGCUCGUAGCGAUUCUGACGUGCAAAUCGAUCGUCAAAUUUGGGUAUAGGGGCGAAAGACUAAUCGAACCA
rnacentral:rRNA from 1 species